UGUCCAGAGCUGUGAGGCUGUCCAACAAGCACUUGGAUUCUGGCUUCCAUGGGGCCAUAGUUGGUGAACGUCUGCUCCGACCUUCUUUCCACAGCAGAUGUCCCUUCCACAGUGUCCUAGGAAGAGAGACGGACCCUUAGGAGGGAGUUCUGGGGAAGCCAGGACAGAGACCAAAGCCCAGGGCCUGCCAGCUUCCAUUCAGCCACCCCAGGACAAGUACCUACUCUGUGCCAAGUUCUGUGCUAAUCUUGCCAAUUUGGAAUAUCGUGAACCUUUAACCUUUUUCUUUGUCUUACUUGGGACACACAACCUUUCAUUCCACAGGUAGGGAUGAUGGACUCAAAUGCGAAUGAUGGCUGCUGGGUGGAGAGCUCUGCUCGCCUUGGGGAAGGAAGUGGUGUUUGAGUUCAGUCCUAGGUGCAUGGAUGCACGUGGACCAUUAAUUUAUGGAGUGGACUAAACUCUUAAGCUCUUGGAGGGAGGGAUCCUGUUGUUGAUGGUGAAUCUGCGGUGCUUAGCGUGAUGCCUGGCUCAUCACAGGUGCUCAGUAUGAUAUAGAGAUUUAUUUGGAGAUUCAACAUCUCUCCAGGAAGGCUGUCCAAAUUCGAACCCAGGUUUCUGUCCCUUUGCCCGAGGCCUACCAUUGGGCCACAGCUACCUAGUGACAGAAAAACUAAGGGAUGUUUGAGGAACUUGAAAUCAUGUCUUGGGGAACUGGGACUGCUUGGCAAGAAAACACAAAGGCACAGGGAGAUCAGGAACGUGGUCUUUAAAUCCUCCAAGAACUGUUGUUGUGAUAUUGUUACCAGUUACUGAGUCCUAUGUGCCAGGCACUGUGCUAGGGGCUUCACAUAUGCAAUCUCAUUUAAUCCUCACAAUAAUCCCAAAAGGAGAAUAUUAUUCUCUAUAUUUGAUAAGGGAGGGAACUGGGGCUUAGAUUAAAUGACCCACCCAAGAUUGUCUACCUGAGAUUUAGAAUGGGUCUCUCUGACUCCCAGACUCAUAAUUGCUGAAAGAUUUUAACCAACACAACAGCACUGCCUAGAGAUUUUGUCACGUGGUUUCAGAAACUAGAGCUGGCACUCGUGGGUAGGAGCUCCAGGAAGGUAGUUUCCUGUCCCCCAUAGGGUGAUUUCUCUUCCUAAAGGAGAACAGUCUGAAAUUAGAAUGAUCUGCCUUCUGGAGCCCAGCUAGCACUGCAGGACCUCCCGGGAUCUUCAACUUCAAUGGGAUCUGGUUCUACAAAAGCUGAAGCUCUCCUGCCUUAGCCUGGUAGGGGCUUUUUCUGAACUGAGCUGACAUGAGCAGCAGUACUCAGACUUCCUGGGUCAACCCAGCCUGGACUCUGUGUUCUUGUCCCUGUUCUCCCUGAAGCCCAAGCUAUAGGGCUGGGUUCAGGUUUCUUCCAAAAGGAGCUGGGCAGGAAUGUGCGCCUGACCCCCUUUGGAAUGGGCCACACAACCACACGGCCAGGUCUGUGGACCCUGGCAUGGAAGCUGGCACUUGUUUGGGCUUCAGGGGAGGGCAGAUUGGAGUGGACGCACCUAUUCUGGGCUCUUUAGGGCUACAGAUGUUUACAUGGAUGCAUUGAUUGUCCUGUGCCUUUCACUUUGCCUCACUGACUUCUGGUGGCCAUGUGGCUGGCUCCAGGAUGCAGAAGGGUGUGGGUUGGCUCUUGAGCCCCUGCCCCACAUCGAGUGAGCUGACAUCAGUGGUUUACACAGGAGGCUGCAGGAGCAGGGGACAGCCAAUUGGAAUUGCAAGACAUGGAUGAGAUCGCCUUUUCAACUCCAGAGCAUUUUGACCAGAAAUUAGAGUCGGAAAGGCCCUAAGGGUGAUAUCGUCCAGCUACACACCCAGCGUGGAGUUGCUCCACUCAGCACCCCUGCCAGGCAGUCGGCCAGGCUUUCCUUCAACAAGGCUAAUUUUGGAUGGCUCUAAUGAGGAGGAACUCCUUCCUGGCCCUCCUCAGAGUGUGUUUCCUAUGCACUGCCUUAUUGCCUCUCACCGUGGCCUUGUGAGGGGGUCUGUAUUCAAUGAGCUUGCGUGAUCCUGGGCAGGCCUUCUUUGUGUCUCCCGCCCACUGGUUCUGCAUGAGCACGUCUGCUUCCCUUUGGUGAAGUUUUCCUGUUACCACUCCUGGGAUGCGAAUCCAGGGUAAGCAUUGGUGACCUGUCUUACGGCGUGGUGAGGUUCAAAGAUAAGGCAUAGGCCUUGCCCACGUCCUCCCACACGUGUGGCCGGGCAAGGACCACAACCCCCGAGAUGCUCAGUCUUGCCCUUUGCUGCUCAGGCACAGUCUGCCUCCUUCCUGAUCUCUGGCGUGUUUUGUGGGCAAGAUUCAGAAAGCCCUUUCCAAACAGCAAGGUUAAAGUUUUUGGCUUCCUUCUUUAGAAUGUACCUGGCCGGUGGGGUGAGUGUGGGGAUAGACACGUAGGAGCCACAUGGUACCAGGAAUAGGACAUAGCAGCAAGGAGGAGGGAUCUGGAGGGGGGCCAGGGUGUGAUGGCUGAGUGCCUCGGAGAAGGGCCACCGCCACGGGAGGCUGGGCCCACCCCGGUAACUCCCUCCUGUUCUCCUUCAGAGGUCUUUCAUCUCCCUACCUCCCUUUUCUUUCCACUUUUCUCCUUUUUCUCGUCUUGUGAGGCAGCCCUGAGCUGUUCUGCCUUCCAGCUCUUUAGCAUCUUCUCUUCUGUCUACCUGGAGAUUCUCGACCUUAAGGUUUAGCACCCUUGACGCAUCAUAUUUCUUUAUAACGUCUUCUCCUUCAGGGCUCUGCAACCAUACCUGCCAUUUCAGAGCAACUCCUGUCUGUACCUGGGAGCUUUAACACUGAGCCUCAACCAGACAGUCUGGAUGCUUGGCUGCCAGCCUGCCCAGAACAUUUAAUUACCUCUUGCAGGUGACAUCUUAUUCCACAGCGAUAUUUCACGACAGUGCCUUAAUGCUGAAGGACAGCCCCAGUGGUAGGAAUUUGAUGUAUCGUGGCAUGCCAACAAGACGACGUUUGGGGGCAAUAGAAGGAAAUGAGUAAUUUGUGGAGUACCUUCCACGUGCCAGGAACAGGGCAAGCUUCUCCUUCCAGUGAGCCUGUGAGGUGGCACCGUUAUCUCUGUUUUACACAUUCGAGAACUCAAGCUUGCUUAGGGUCCCAGGGCCGGUUAAUGGGUAGGGUCAGAGUGUGAAUCGUCUUCUGCUUGAUUCCAGAGCCCGAGCUCCUUCCCCUGGUCUGUGCUGCCUCUCCACAGGGCCUCUGUCUUCAGUGUUUCCUACUAGCGCCGAGCCCAGCACCUGGCGUGAACAUGAACAUGUGAUGGUGGUCUUAGAAGGUGGGAUAGGGCUGUCAGAUCUUAGAGGCUUGUCUGGGGGUUAGGACUCACCCUUCCCCAGUAGGAACUGAGAAAGGGAUUUGACGAUGAUGAAGAUUUA